AUGCCUGAUUACGAAAAUAUAUCCGUGAUGACUGACGAGAAGAAUCCCCAGGCUUCAGCAGAAAUGCCUCCCUCAUACCCAGCCCCUACAGCUCCCUCCACCCUGCAGCUGGCUAAAGGGAGAACCCGGGAGCAGAAACACAUGUUGAUGCUGUACUUCCUGAUGGCCAUUUGCUUUCUCAUGUGGAUUGUUCUCCUCUCACUCACAGUUGUGAACGACCAGAAGAUAACUGGGGAAUUAAAGAGGAUAAACACAUCCCUUUCCCACAGGAUAAACCAAGUGUCUAAGGAGGUGAAAGAAGCCCAGGUACAGCUAGGAAAGGCAUUGGCAAAACAGAAGGCAGCGGAGGCAGGUAAGAACAGCUAAGGAGGUGUUUCCUGGCUCUCUCCCCUCCCGGCCACUGGGCUGCACCUUGGUAGGGGGGUCAAAUCGGGGGCAGGUGGGUGCUUCCAGGAUGGGGGUUGAGGGUCUCUAGGGCCAGGAGUCUUACCCCCUAUCCCAUCACCCUACAGCUGCAGAACCUGCCCCAUCAUAGCACAUCCUCCCCGUGCAAACUGCCUCUCAGGUGCCAUUUCCCAGCCACCCAGACUGGACAAGAGUCUGCUCCCCAGCUGGACGCUGAGGGUGGGCGCAGAGCACAGGCAGGGCUAGCAGAGGGUGGUGUAGCCCAGGCAGGCAGCAGGAGAUGGGGGGGGAUGUUUCCAGGGGCUCCUAAGGGCUCCACAAACCUGAUGCGGGGCUUGGGCAGAUGGCAACAAUACCAGAGUUUAGUUCAGCCCCAAAAGACUAAUCCUUAGCAAGCAGGGAAACUGAGGCACAGGGCAAUUGAAUUGAUCCUCCCAGGAUCAAUGGCAGAGGUGGG
rnacentral:lncRNA from 1 species